UACGAAGGGUGCAAGCGUUACUCGGAAUUACUGGGCGUAAAGCGUGCGUAGGUGGUGAGUUAAGUCUGUCGUGAAAGCCCCGGGCUCAACCUGGGAAUGGCGAUGGAUACUGGCUCGCUAGAGUGCGGUAGAGGAGAGUGGAAUUCCCGGUGUAGCAGUGAAAUGCGUAGAGAUCGGGAGGAACAUCAGUGGCGAAGGCGGCUACCUGGCCCAAUACUGACACUCAGGUGCGACAGCGUGGGGAGCAAACAGG
rnacentral:rRNA from 1 species